rnacentral:rRNA from 1 species
ACGAAGGGUGCAAGCGUUAAUCGGAAUUACUGGGUUUAAAGGGUGCGUAGGCGGUCGGGUAAGUCUGACGUGAAAUCUUCAAGCUCAACUUGGAAACUGCGUCGGAUACUAUUCGGCUCGAGGAAUGGAGGGGAGACUGGAAUACUUGGUGUAGCAGUGAAAUGCGUAGAUAUCAAGUGGAACACCAGUGGCGAAGGCGAGUCUCUGGACAUUUCCUGACGCUGAGGCACGAAAGCCAGGGGAGCAAACGGGA